rnacentral:lncRNA from 10 species
ACCAGCUGCAGAGGUCUCUGGCUGGCAAAGCAGCACCAAAAAAAUCCUGCAUCAUUUUAACUGAUAGCAAAAAAAAACAAAAACAAAAAAAACCCACAAAGAAACAUAAAAUACUUUUAAGAACAAUUAGAUACCAACAAAUCAUGUAACCAAGAAGAAAUGGAAAGUUUCCUGAGCACAUACAACCUACCAAAAUUGAAUUAUCAAGAAAUAAAACAUCUGAACAGAUCAAUAAUGAGAAAGGAGACUAAAUCAGUAAUAAAAAGUCUCCCAUCAAAACAUAGCUCAUGAAGUGAUAGCUUCACUGAUGAAUUCUCCCAAACAUUUAAAGAAAACACUAACACCAAUUAUUUUCAAACUAUUUCAGAAAAUUGAGUAGGAGAAGAUAUUUCCAAACUCAUUCUGUGAGGCCAGCAUUACCUGAUACCAAAACCAGACUAAAGUCACAACAGAAAAAGAAAACUGCAGGCCAAUAUCCCUGAUGAACAAAAAUGUAAAAAUCCUUGACAAAGCAUUAGC